rnacentral:rRNA from 1 species
GGACUACUGGGGUAUCUAAUCCUGUUCGCUCCCCACGCUUUCGCGCCUUAGUGUCAGUAACGUCCCAGCGAGCUGCCUUCGCUAUUGGUGUUCCUCCUGAUAUCUGCGCAUUCCACCGCUACACCAGGAAUUCCACUCGCCUCUUCCGUACUCUAGCUCCGCAGUAUCCAUCGGCAUUCAAAGGUUGAGCCUUUGACUUUCACAACGGACUUACGAAGCCACCUACGCGCGCUUUACGCCCAAUGAUUCCGGACAACGCUUGCUCCCUACGUAUUACCGCGGCGGCUGGCAC